rnacentral:rRNA from 1 species
GACGAACCGUGCGAACGUUGUUCGGAAUCACUGGGCUUAAAGGGCGCGUAGGCGGGUUCGCAAGUCUGUGGUGAAAGCCCCCGGCUUAACCGGGGAAGGGCCGUGGAUACUGCGAAUCUUGAGGAGGGUAGGGGCAUCUGGAACGGUCGGUGGAGCGGUGAAAUGCGUUGAUAUCGGCCGGAACUCCGGUGGCGAAGGCGAGGUGCUGGACCCUUUCUGACGCUGAGGCGCGAAAGCCAGGGGAGCAAACGGG